rnacentral:lncRNA from 1 species
CUCUGCUCAGAACUCUGAUGGGCUUCAGAGUGGAAUGAGAUCACUUAUCAAAUUGGCAACAGGUCCUCUCUGGCCAUCUCCGUAUAGUUUGACCCAAUGAGUUUGGUUCUCCCUUCUUUGUCAAUUCCCCUGUCUCCUGAAUGUCUCAUUCUCAAACUAAUUUUGCUUGAAAUUGUGGCUGGAGAUGGUAUGUUUGAAACUUAAUAUGAUGAACAUAGAACAGGAAGAUUUCAACACCUUUUUAGCAAAAGAUGUUCACAUAAACCUGAAAUGAAUAUAGCCAAAGAGGACGUGGUCUUUCAGCACCUCCAGCUAAAAAAUGCUGCAGAGGAACUUCCUGUAUUAAGUACAGAUGGGGUUUCACCAUGUUCGCCAGGAUGGUCUCGAUCUCCUGACCUCGUGAUCUGUCCACCUCUGCCUCCCAAAGUGCUGAGAUUACAGGUGUGAGCCACCACUCCCAGCCUUUGUCAUCAUUUCAGAUAGGGUGAAGGAAUGGUUUAAGUCGCCUCCAAGGUAUCUUGUUGGGGGUGAGGGGUACAGAGGGGUCUUACUGAAUGGUGAUGAAAAAGGGGACACAAGCGAAAAAUCAACAUUGGAGAAAAGAUAACUAAACCCUGGGAAGCUUAAGGAACAAAGUGUAACAAAACAACAUGGAUUGUUUUAUAAAAUACUUUGAGAUAUCCAGGAUUAAAAGUAUGAUAAAAAAUAACAUCGUGUAUUUUUGCAGUAACUUUUAAUUUACAAAAACACUUACAUACAUUAUCUCACUAGACUCUUUGACCCUUAUAUGUACUAUGUAAGAAAGGCAGGGCAGGCACCAGAAAUCCAGGGUUACAAAAUCUAGUGAUUGGAACUCAGAGGGAUUGCGAGGCAUGCUCAAAAUCCCACAACUGCGCAAAAAUAGGACAAACAGAAAUAUGUUCACUCAGUGAUUAGAACUCGGAGGGAUUGUGAGGCAUGCUCAAAAUCCCACAACUGCGCAGAAAUAGGACGAAGAGAAAUAUGUUUGCUCAGUCCUAGGUGCAAUACUUAUGACCAGAAUGGGAGGACAGACUGAUCCCCUUUAGAGCUUGAUUUUCCUUCCCUCUGGGAAUAUAUCUGCCUUUGGCACUG